CCGCGGCUCGGUGCGGCGGCCGCCCCGCUUCCUUUUGUGCUCGGGGAGCGAUGAGGCAGGGGGCUCCCUGCUCCCGGCAGCCGCAGCCUCCGCCUGCCCCCCGCGCCCCGCGGGCACCGCAGGUUUAGACCUCCAGACGGGUUGAAGAAAUCGCCCGAAAGGAACCACUUGGAAGAUUUUGUUUCCUCCUGUGAAAUCCCACUAGACUUGAGCAGAUCAGUCACUUGAAGACGCUGGAGGACGAUUUGCAAAAAAGUUAUAUACCGGGAUGUAUGUUAGAGCUGAGGAAUUCUUCCUGUCCAAAGAGAAUACACGUUUUCUUUAACA